rnacentral:rRNA from 1 species
UACGUAGGGGGCGAGCGUUAUCCGGAUUUACUGGGCGUAAAGCGCGUUAAGGCGGCCGGCAAAGUUGAGGGUGAAAUUUCGGGGCUCAACCCCGAAACUGCCCACAAUACUGGUCGGCUAGAGUGCGAGAGAGGAAGGUGGAAUUCCCGGUGUAGUAGUGAAAUGCGUAGAUAUCGGGAGGAACACCAGUGGCGAAGGCGACUUCCUGGCCUGUUCUUGACGCUGAGGCGCGAAAGCUAGGGGAGCAAACAGG